rnacentral:lncRNA from 1 species
CCUCAUCACUCAGCUUUCUUCUCCUGGCUUUCGAAGGAGUUUUCUCCCAGUGCGUGAAGAUCUCCUCCAGCGACGUCGCCAGGGACGGGAGCAGCUUCUGUCCGAGCUGCGCCUGUAGCUCGCGGGCGGCUCGCGCGUAGCCGGCGCGCAGGAGGUGCUGGUGGAUGAGGGCCAGCAGCUCCCGUCGCCCGCGGCCCUCCGCCGCCAUGGCGCGGCCCAGCUCCGCGCUGCCCC